rnacentral:rRNA from 1 species
AGGAAAAGAAACUAACAAGGAUUCCCCUAGUAACGGCGAGUGAAGCGNGAAGAGCUCAAAUUUAAAAUCUGGCAGUCUACGAUUGUCCGAAUUGUAAUCUCGAGAAGUGUUUUCCGCGUUGGCCUGUGCACAAGUCCCUUGGAACAGGGCGUCAUAGAGGGUGAGAAUCCCGUCCUUGGCACAGAUACCCAAUGCUUUGUGAUACACUCUCAAUGAGUCGAGUUGUUUGGGAAUGCAGCUCAAAAUGGGAGGUAAAUUCCUUCUAAAGCUAAAUACUGGCGAGAGACCGAUAGCGAACAAGUACCGUGAGGGAAAGAUGAAAAGCACUUUGGAAAGAGAGUCAAACAGUACGUGAAAUUGUUGAAAGGGAACG